rnacentral:rRNA from 1 species
AAACUUGAGAGUUUGAUCCUGGCUCAGAACGAACGCUGGCGGCAGGUCUUAGGCAUGCAAGUCGAACGGGUGAAGCAGGGGCUUGCCCUUGUGGAUCUAGUGGCGCACGAGUGAGUAACGCGUGGGAAACUGCCCAUCACUGGGGAAUAACGUUUGGAAACGAACGCUAAUACCGCAUACGCCGGAAACGGGAAAGAUUUAUCGGUGAUGGAUGUGCCCGCGUUGGAUUAGCUUGUUGGUGGGGUAAUGGCCUACCAAGGCGAUGAUCCAUAGCU